UACGUAGGGUGCAAGCGUUAAUCGGAAUUACUGGGCGUAAAGCGUGCGCAGGCGGUUGUGCAAGACAGAUGUGAAAUCCCCGGGCUCAACCUGGGAAUUGCAUUUGUGACUGCACGGCUAGAGUGUGUCAGAGGGGGGUAGAAUUCCACGUGUAGCAGUGAAAUGCGUAGAGAUGUGGAGGAACACCGAUGGCGAAGGCAAUCCCCUGGACCUGUACUGACGCUCAUGCACGAAAGCGUGGGGAGCGAACAGG
rnacentral:rRNA from 1 species